rnacentral:lncRNA from 1 species
AUCAAAUCAUGUAAAGUAUAUGGUAUCUAAGAGCCAACCAACCACACCUAACUUUUUCUCCUUUUAUUUUCAUCUUCUUCCUUAUUCUUCUUCAUCACCAGAGAAGAACUAGUGCCAAAAACCAAUAACAAAAAGCAAACGUUUUUCACAAUCACCAACCCGCAUAUUCACAUGGUGAGCAUGAUCUUCACCAUCACCCCCUUCUUUUGAAUCUCUUCAAAAUCUUCAAUACCCAAAACUCAAAAUCCCUCAAUUCAUCAACCCUUUUGAUUUGAUAAUUUAGGGUGAAUGAAACUUUGAUUUUUAAAGCCAACAAAACCAUGAAAUUAAAAACCACAAACAUCAA